rnacentral:rRNA from 1 species
UACAGAGGUCUCAAGCGUUGUUCGGAUUCAUUGGGCGUAAAGGGUGCGUAGGCGGCGCGGUAAGUCGGAUGUGAAAUCUCGGAGCUUAACUCCGAAACUGCAUUGGAAACUACCUGGCUCGAGGAAUGGAGGGGGGACUGGAAUUCUCGGUGUAGCAGUGAAAUGCGUAGAUAUCGAGAGGAACACCAGUGGCGAAGGCGAGUCCCUGGACAUCUCCUGACACUGAGGCACGAAAGCUAGGGGAGCAAACAGG